rnacentral:rRNA from 1 species
UAGAUACCCUAUUAUUUAAGAGCUAAAUAUUGUAAGUAUAUAAUAAUUACGAAAGCAAAAAAUUAUGGCGGUAUUUUAAGCUUUUCAGAGGAAUUUGCUCUUUAAUGGAUAAAACACCUAAAUCUUACUUAAAUUUGUCAAAUCAACUUGUAUACCACUAUUAAAACAAUUAUUAACUCUAAUUGUUAAUAUUUAAAAACAUAAAUUAAUUUAAAUUAAGUCAAGGUGCAGUAAAAAUUUAAGAAUGAAGUGAAUUACAUUACUUUUAAGAGAAAUAAAAUUAAAUAAAAUUAUAAAAUUUAGGAUUUGAAAGUAAAAUUAAAAUAGAAUGUUAAUUUGAAUUAAGCUCUAAAAUAUGUACAUAUCGCCCGUCACUCUUUUUUAAGAUAAGUCG